rnacentral:lncRNA from 1 species
UAUCUAAGAUCUCUAAGAUUAUAAAAUCAUAUCUUUCAAGAUCAUGUUUCCAUAUUUGUCUAACUUGUAGAUGGGCCUUCAAUCUCUUCAAGCAAUGGGUCAGUCCGAUUGGGCCAAAUGACCUCCUUCCUUCUUGAUGGAUCGCACAGAUGUGUCAUGAUUGCGGGCUCCCAUGCGCAACCCAUGACAUUCUCCCCCACCGAAUCUAGCAACGCCCUCGUCGCGUCCUCCGCAUGGUAUCGAUCUAUCUUGUCUUGGAAUUGCCACAAGGCUUCAGCAGGUUCCCAACUCAUCUCACUAUCCGGGAAUCCCUUUCAUAAGACCAAGUAUUCACGCCGCGAUUGGUAUUACUUACGUCUGACUACACGAUUAGCUUCAAUGUUCUCGACCUCUCGAUCAUAGGUGACUUUUACCCCCAUUGGUGCUCGUUCAGACUUGCUCCAAUUUGGGGCUUCUCUAGCUUCAUGGAAUGGCUUAAGUAUACUCACAUGAAAUACUGGAAUGGCCCCUCAUACCACCGAACGAGUCCUUUGUGUAACCCAUCAUAUCUCAAAAUUAGGUGUAGUUUGGCAAGAACUAGGUCACCAACCUGAAACUGCACAUCCCUUCAAUUUCGAUCCGCCCACUUCUUGUUGCGCUUACUUGAAUUAUAUAGACAAACUCUAACUAGAUCGUUUUGCUCUUGCCAAUCCCUCGCAAAUCGAUAAGCUGCUGGAUUCGAUCCCGCAUAACGAGUUGCAACCACAUUAGGUGUAAGCGACUAUUGCCCCGUCACUAUCUCAAACGGACUCUGGUUUGUUGCCCCACUUCGUUGUAAGUUGUACAAAAACUGGGCCACGUCUAACAACUUUGGCCAAUCCUUUUGUGUCGCACUUACAUAAUGCCGAAGAUACGUCUCCAGCAAUGCAUUCACUCGUUCAGUUUGCCCAUCAGUUUGGGGAUGCAUGCUAGUGGAAAAGUUUAAGUCUGAACCCAUUAACUUGAACAACUCUGUCCAAAAUCGACCCGUAAAUUGCCUAUCUCGAUCACUGAUGAUAGACUGUGGUACUCCCCAAUACUUCACCACAUGCUUAAGGAAUAAGCGAGCUGCCUCCUCAGCGGGACACUCCUUGGUUGCGGGGAUAGAAGUUGCAUACUUCGAAAACCUGUCCACCACAACAAAAAUACUUGCAAAUCCAUCAAAUUUAGGCAAGCCUGUGAUAAAGUCCAUGGACAAGCAUUCCCAUGGGCGCUCCAAAAUGGGCAACGAUUGUAACAAACCAGCAGGGGCUUUCAACUCAACCUUAUUUUGUUGGUAUAUUAAACAAGUUUGAACAUGAGCCUCCACAUCAUCACCCAUGUGAGGCCAAUAAAAUCAAUCCUCCAAUAGAGCCAAGGUACGAUGUAUUCCUGGUUGACCAGCCCAUUUUGAAUCAUGACAUUCCUUCAUGAUUUCCCUUCGUAAAUUCCCAUGUAGAGGCACAUAUAAACAUUGCCCAUGAGUGUAUAGCAAUUCUCUCUCGAACCAAAAUCGCCUCGUCUUUCCAUCUCUAGCAAGCUCCAUCAGAUUUUUGACCGUGGGAUUAUGGGACAGUCCUUGAAUGCACUCUAAUAAGGGACUCAGGUUGGCUUAUCGUUGCAAAUUCCAUUUUUCGGCUAAGUGCAUCGGCCACAAUGUUGGCACUCCCCGACUUGUAUUCAAUGCUAAAAUCAAACUUUGCUAGGAAAACCUGCCAACGAGCCUGCCUGGGGGACAACUUUUUCUGGGUUAAGAAAUAACUAUUUGCAAUAUUAUCAGUGAAUACUACAAACCUGGAACCCAGCAAAUAGUGUCUCCAUGUGCGCAAACAAUGCACCACUGCCGUUAUCUCUUUUUCUUGAAUCGUGUAUCUCUGUUUCGUCUCAUUAAGCUUUCGACUCUCGAAAGCAAUCAGAUGCCCAUCUUGCAUCAACACCCCUCCAAUUGUAUACUCUGAAGCAUCUGUACGUACCUCAUACGCCUUUGAAAAAUUUGGCAAUGCGAGUACAGGUUCGCUUGUCAUCGCUUGCUUCACUUGGUUGAAGGCUUUCUCACACUGAAGGUCCCAAUCCCACACUUUACCCUUUUUCAACAGGUCCGUCAAGGGUGUAGUGAUCUUGGGAUAGCCUUCAAUGAAGCAACGGUAGUAAUUUGCUAAUCCAAAGAAAGACUGCAACUCCGACACCUUGGUUGGUGAUUCCCAAUCGACAAUUGCCCGAACUUUCAUCCAUUCGAAUCGUGCCACCUCCCACAAUAUGGCCUAGAAAUGGCACUUCUCGUUAAGCAAAUGAGCAUUUCUCCUUUUUGACAUAUAGCUUAUUUUCUCGUAGAGUUUGGAACACCUCCCCCAAGUGUCCCACAUGCUCUUCGAACGUCUUACUAUACACCACAAUAUUGUCCAGAUAAACAACCACAAAACGAUCCAAGAAAGGUUGUAAUACCUUAUUAUUAGGGUACAAAAUGUAGUCGGAGCAUUUGUCAACCCGAAUGGAAUCACCAAGAACUCAAAGGUUGUCUUGGGCUCAUCCCCUUUGGCUAUUCUCACUUGGUGGUACCCCGAUCGGAAAUCCAACUUAGUAAACCAUCUCGCGCUACCAAGCUGAUUGAACAAAUCUGCAAUAAGAGGAAUGUGAUACCUAUUUUUUAUAGUGAUUAUGUUUAAGGCCCUGUAGUCGAUGCACAUUCUCAAAGAUCCAUCAUGCUUCUUUUGAAAUAACACAGGUGCACCGAACGGAGCUUUAGAUGGUUCAGAAUUGGGCAACAGCUCAAUCUUGUGGUCUACCUCCCUCUUAGGUCGCAAUCUUUUGGGCAACUCCAUGGGCAUUACAUAUUGAAAUGACUUUAGCAUCCGUUCCACUUCCUUUGGAAUUUCCCCCUCAAAUUUAUCAUCCAUAUUGUCUCUCAAGGUAGCUAGGUAGGAGACUUCAUCUCGACGGACUCCUUUGGCAAAUUGAAUUGCCGACAAGGUUUUUCCCUCCAUGCUUCUCUUCCUUUCCAUUCUCACCAUAUAUCGUUGAUUUGCAUCGGAGAUUGUCAUGUAAUUCUCGGAAGGGUGAAUAUCCACAUUAAGCCUAUCAAGUAAACUUAAUCCAACUACAAAAUUGUAAUCAUCAAGUGGGAUUACCUUAAUGGUCGUUUUGCCCGUCCAUUCGCCAAGUUUGAGUUCCACCCCUUUUGCCACACCCGUUAUGGGAAUGCUUUCUAAAUUCACCGUUUUGAUUCGUCCCGAAUCUUCCUCGAUUCUAAGGCUAAGUUCCUUUGCCAUUUCUUUAGACAUGAAUAAAUCAGACGCACCAGUAUCAACAAGUGCAUUGAAUCUUCUGCCAGCUACGAUAAUGUCCACAAACAUCAACCCAUUGCUUGACUUCUCUUCGACACCUCGUAAUAUCGAAUUGAGGUUUUUGGUGUCAUCUUCGACUUCCUCGCGUGCCUCCAUGGCAUGAAAAGCGGCUUUCUUUGGACAGACACUCAUUCUAUGUGGGCCUUAGCAAAAAAAGCACUUCAUUGGUCAUUUUCAUUGGUCAUUGGUCAGCCUAACUUCCACAAAAGAUGGAUUCGACAGAAUUCUUCCCAAAACAUAACUCAAGCGAAAACAACUCAAAGCCAACAAGAUGAAAGAAUAAUGAGACAAGAUCAGGCCAAUGAAAAUAAAAACACAAGAGAGAAAAAAGUUUGAGUGAAUGCUCUCAAGAAUUCUUAUUGCUCAAAACUCAAGUACUUUACAAUGAGAGAAGAGACCUCUAUUUAUAGUUGAGCCUCUCCAAAUCCAACGGUACAAAAUCAAAUAUAUCAACGGCUAUGAUUAAAAGGUAUCUACAAUUAAAUCCCUAAGAAUAUAAAAUCAUAUCUUUUAAGAUUACCUAUCUUAUCUAAGAUAUGUAAUCUUAUAAAAUAAUAUAUUAUAAGAUUACAUAUCAUAUCUAAGGUCUCUAAGAUUAUAAAAUCAUAUCUUCCAAAAUCAUGUUUCCAUAUUUGUCUAACUUGUAGAUAGUCCUUCAAUCUCUUCAAGCGACGGGUCAAUCCGAUUGGGCCAAAUAACCUCCUUCCUGAUGGAUCGCAUAGAUGUGUCAUGGUUGUGGGCUCCCUUGCGCAACCCAUGACAUUGGGAGCAAAAGGCAAUGAUUAAUUGGCUGAAAUACGAAGAUAAGAUUACAAAUUUCAUUCAUAAAUUGAAAACUGAAGAUGGACGAGAAAUGGAAGAAUUGAAGGAAAUGGAGGUGGUUGCGCCGGUUGUAGUUUCAAAAAUUGUUUUCGAAAGGAACGAGAGGGAACUUUGACCAUUUGUUAUCAGGGAUCAAUAGAUGCAUAACUGAUGAAGAUAAUCAUAGACUCACGGCGCCCUAUACUAGGGAGGAAAUUUGAGAAGCACUUUUUGAAAUGGGACCUACAAAGGCACCUGGGGAUUAUGGCUUUCCGGCAAUAUUCUACCAAAAAUGCUGGCACAUUAUUGGCGAAGACAUGAUUUUCUUUUGUUUAACCCGUUUGAAUGGAGACAUGAAGGUUAAUUCUAUAAAUUCCACAAAUAUAGUGCUUAUUCCAAAAAGUGCUAGUCCUUCAAAUAUGACACUUUAGACCGAUUAGUCUACGUAAUUUGGUAUACAAAGUAUUGGCAAAGAACAUGGCGAACAGAUUACGAGUAAUUGAAAAAUGUUUUGAUUGCGCACAGAGUGCUUUUGUACUGGGAAGACUAUUAUCAGAUAAUGUGUUAUUAGCCUAUGAGAUACUACACGCGCUCAAGCAAAAGAGAUUUGGAAAAAAAAGGGUUUAUGACAGUUAAACUCGAUAUGAGCAAGGCAUACGAUAGAGUGGAGUGGGAUUUUUUUAAGGAAGUGAUGUUUAGAAUGGGAUUCAACAAAAAAUGGACUGAUGCAAUCAUAAAAUGUAUAUCUACGGUCUUUUAUUCUGUGGUUAUUAAUAGCCAUAUCAAAGAGAAAUUUAGACUUAUUAGAGGACUUCGACAAGGUGACCUGUUAAGCCCAUUUUUGUUUCUUAUUUGUGGAGAGGGUUUAUCAAGCCUAAUUAGACUAGCUUUGAAUGAGGGAUUUUUCAAAGGAGUCAAGAUUAGCAAGAGAGGUCCACAGGUAACUCAUCUCUUAUUUGCGAAUGAUACAUAUUAUUUGGGUAAGCAACAAGCAGGGGGGCUAAUUUAUUCAAAGAAAUUUUAUGCGAAUAUAGAUCUUGUUCAGGCCAAAGGGUAAAUUUUGAAAAAUCAACAGUAUUUUUUAGUAGAAACACAGAGGAAGAGGACAGAAGAAUGGACCUUAGCGUUAAUUAGGGCUGCCGAAUAUGGUUGGAAGGAAAAAGGAGUCUUUCCAGAAUCUGAAGGACAAAAUUAAAAAACGCAUAGACAAUUGGAGCAACAGAUCCUUAUCGCAGGGAGAAAAAGAAGUAUUUAUAAAGGACAUAUUACAAGUCAUACAUACUUAUUCGAUGGCCUGCUUUCUAUUACCAAAAACUUUAUGUGAUGAAUUCGAAAAUAUUAUAGCGAAUUUUUGGUGGCAGAAACAUAAAGGGAAAAGGGGAAUUCACUGGUGUGCUUGGAAAAAUCUGUGUUAAAAGAAAAUGGGGGUUUAGGGUUUCAAAAUCUGGGUCAAUUCAAUAUUGCAUUAUUAGCCAAACAGGGUUAGCGUCUCAUUAAUUUUCCAAAUUCAUUAUUGGCUAGAGUUAUAAAAGCAAAGUAUUACCCGCAGACAAGUUUCUUAAAUGCUAAGGUGGGAAAUUUACCUUCACUCACCUGGAGAAGCAUAUGGGCAGCUAAGGGUCUUCUUCAAAAUGGACUUUGUUGGAGAGUGGGUAGAGGGGAUAAGGUUUCUAUUUGGAAUGACAGUUGAAUCCCAGGAAUUGCGAAACCUGAACGGCAGAACAGUUCUAAUAAUGAAUUAGUUAUGGUGUCGGAUCUUAUUGACUCCUCAAACAGAAAAUGGAGAACAUAUACGAUCAUGAAUACCUUUCAAGCAGAUGUUGCUCAAAAAAUCCUACAGAUUCCGCUUGCAGAGACAGAACAUGAGGAUUUUCAGGUGUGGAAAGGAGAACAAUCCGGCGAAUACUCAGUACGUAGUGCCUAUAAACUAUUACAAGAAGCUACUAUGGAUCCUAGGAAUCAUUUAAUACAUGCCGAAAUUAAAAAAUUUUACAGAAAGCUUUGGAAUUUACAACUACCCGCAAAAAUCACGAUCAUUAUUUGGAGAAUUUCAUGGGAUUUUAUCCCCCAUCUCGCUAAUCUCAGGUACAGAAGACUCAUUUCAAAUGACAGAUGUCUCCGCUGCCACUCCGGAGUUGAAAACAGUUAGCAUAUAUUUCGUCAAUGCACUGUAACAACGGAUGUUUGGUCACAUCUACAGCUUUCCUGGGUCAUUAAUGAUAUGGCUCAAAACACUUGGGAAUGGCUAACCUGGGUGUUCGCAAAUGGAUCUAACAAACAGUGUCGUCUAUUUUGUUUCACUCUGUGGCUGCUAUGGUCCUUUAGGAAUCAACUAGUUAACGAUCGGAAACUCUUAACAGGAUUAGAUCUCGCAAAAAGAGUGAAGAAACAAAUUGAAGAAUAUGAAGGUGUGCAAGCAGUAAAAGCUCCACCAAACGUUAACAGGAACCAGUGGAAUCAAGAAGACAUAACAGUACAAGCUCCAUCAUACACUAAUAGGACAUAGAGGGAUCAAGAAGACAUACCGAGAUUAUAGAUCCAGUUCGAUGCAGCAUUCGACAAUACAAGUUUUCAGUCAGCGUCGGGUCUGGUGGCUCCGAGCUCGAGGGGAGAACUACUGGUAUCCAAAUCGACUCUUCACAACAAUGUGUCGACACCAUUUGCAGCAGAGGCAUUCGCAUGCCUUGAAGCUUUAAAUCUUGGCAUCUCGAUGGGCAUGCAGUGGGUCAACAUUAUGGGGGACUCCAAAACAACAAUAAAAAAGUUUCAAACAACAACAGCAAACAAAUCCGUCAUUGGAGCAAUCAUCAAAGAUAUCCAGAAUAGGAAAAGAUACUUUCAUGAGAUCCAUUUCCAGCAUAUUCAUAGAUCAGAGAACUCAACAGCCCACAGACUUGCAAAGACUACGCUAGAGAAAAGAGAAACUGUGUACCUGAGGGGAGAAGAUUGGAGAGACUAAGAGAAUGCCUCGGAGGGACGAUGGAGACAAUGGCCCGAUUGAAUAAACUCUGGUGAAGAAAGUAAGUUCAAAAUAGAUAGCAAUUGAUUUCUUAUCUUUCUUGGGAAGUGCUAUCGGCAGAAACGGAUGGGAUGUGAUAAAGGAACGUUGAAUAGUAAUGGGUGCCAGCCGUUCUUCGAUUUGACUGGGUUAGGUUUCUUGUUUUUCAAAUUGCAGAUUCAUUUACUGUCUUUACUUUUCAAGUUAGCUUUUCUUUUAUUAAAUAUUUAGGAGGCCUAUUAGUAUAGACUACAUUGAGGCCGGUUUUAUUUUGAGUUUUGCUGUAAGUUGGUCUGAGCCCAGUUUGUUAUUGGUUUUUUUACUUUUUUAUGAUUACUAAUAAAGUACCC